GGGUCGAAUGGGGAGCCCACAGGC
rnacentral:siRNA from 1 species